AUACCCUCUCCUGCAGAUUUUGACCCCCUGUAAACCCUCUUUUCGUGGUCAUUUAGAGGGGGGAGAGAGACCAAAUCCUAGGGGAGAGCAGAUAGAGCUAAAAAAUCUGAGAGAUCAAAACCCUAGGGAAGAGAACAGAUCAGAGAAAACAAAAAAAACCAGAGAGAGUUACACGAGAGAAGAGAAAAUCCUAGAAACUGCUUCAGAAACUCGAGCCUCCUGAGAGAAAACCUAAGUCUGAGAAAACCUAGACCUAGGGCAUAACCACCCUAGAUCUACCCAUAGGGCACAACCGCCCUUCUUCAACUAGAGACUUUCUGGUGAACAUCCGACUAAGAGAGACAAAAGAGGACUGGUUUUGAUACGGGCAAGCCCCAUAAGGCUCGAGAGUCCUGGGCAAUCUGGUCCGGUUUGGUCACCGUUAUGAAAAGUGGGUCACCUGCAAACUGCAUACACCAAAGACAUCCUAGGGCUCUUAUUCCGAGGGCUCUCGAACUUGAGAACGUAUCCUUUAAAAAUGAGAACUUAACUCAAGGGGAAACGAUAACUAACUUCCUCCUUAUCUAGUAUCUCAAAAUGGAACUCCUAAGUGUCGGAUGUUUAAAGCUUAGGUCACUAUGCGUGGCCGAACAUUUGAGGGGCUUUCAUGCUUUACCAAAAAGGAGGCAGAGCAAUAUGUCAUUAGGAAUGCCCACAACUACCUAAUCAUAUAAGAUUUGGACCUACUACUGAGGAAAACUUCAGGAGGCCACUGUGCUUUAUGAAAAUCUUAGGACCGAGAACAAUGGAUUAUCUUCACAGGUUCUACAUGAGCGUUGGUUUAAAGCUUCCGGUGAGGAGGAGAGAAAGUUGCUUUAAGGAGGAGAUCUUGUCCUUGACAUCUCGAUUGGAAAAUAUGAGUGUUGUUCAAAUGAAUUGCGCUCAUAUGUUUUAUGUCGAUAAGUAUCUCGGUGAUUCGUCUAACCGUGCUUCUAAUGUGGAGUUCAUUCUUGACCCUUAUGGUGGUCUUCUUACUUCCCCUAGUGCAAUGGAGGAGGAUGGUCAUACUGUUUAAUUUGGUAACAGUGGAUUAUAUUCUACUUUAUCGGUAUUAUGUUUGGUGCAUGGUUUUGUGACCCUUAUCUGAAGGCCGAUGACAAUUAUUGAACACUUUUAUUUAUUUAUUUUAUUUUAUUUGUGAA